UCGUCCACCCGUCUUCUAAACCUUCCAGGGAUGGGGACUCGACCACGUCCCUGGGUAGCCUGUUCCAGUGCCUGAAUUGGGGGUGAACGAAGUCGGCCUGAAGAUGAUGAGGGACGAGGUGUUUAGUGAGAGGGCAGGGCUCCCUGAACGAGGUGGAGCUGCCCUGUGCGUUUGACAUGGGGCUGGUGCGUGCGUUUGCACUGCCUGUGUGUGCUUUGGGGGCUGAGCCCUGUGGCAUCCUGGAGUCGGCCUUCCACAGAAGACUUAAGAACACAGUUACUGUAAAAUCCACGUAUCCUGCUAAGUAAAAACCAAACAGCACAGUCCUCGCAUGGUUCUUAAAGUAAAUCAUGAGAUUAAUGUUUUAACUGUUGACAUUUCCUUUUUUUUUUUUGCUAGGCAAUGAGACUGAAUAAAGGGAGAUAUGCUUUAAAAAAAUAUAAAACCCCAUGGCAAACUUCCUGUGGCCUUAGGAUGCCUUUUUUAUCUCCCUCUUGUGAUCCUAAUGUCACUGAGCCAUAGUCCUUCUGGAAGAACAACAAUAUAAUAAAAAAAGAUAGCUAGGAUUCUAGGCUCUAAUCUGCAAGCAAAGAUAAGGAGAUGGCUGCGUUCACAUAGGAAGUUGCCGGGUACAUUCAUUCUGUGUUGAAUGAGCUUGUCUAACGAUAGCCUGAGUCACACGUUAGAUUACUGCACAAUAAAAUUUUUGAAUCUUUGCAAGUCGUUAGUAACCUUUGGUUACUGGGUGUAGUAGGCAGGCUUAACUCAAGAUUUUCCAUGGCUUAAAUUUUUUUUUUGUGAUCUGAAACAAAAUGUGUUUAAUAAAGUUAUCUUUAAUGGAUUGCUACAUUUAUUUGAUGUAUGUAGUGCAGCAUGAGAAACAUUAUUGUUGGAAGUGGUGUAUUUGAAGUAGUGUAUAUGACAAAACAAAUAACCUUGACGUGUGUUGCUUUGGCUGGUUGAAUUGGUGGAUUUAAAUACUUGCUACAUGGUUAAAACCGAAUUCUCUAAACCAGUUGAAAUCAAUGCUUAUACUUAAAGGACUGAAACCUUGAUUAAUUUUCAUUAAAAAUCCUUUGGACUGAAGUUUAAUAGUGGGUACACGCAGUUAUUUCUGCAAUGCUUUUAACGUGGUGUUUCAAGUCAAUGUGACUCAUAACUCCUUUGUUACUGAAAACUGGCUGCAUUUCUUGCUGCUUUCUAAAAGGCCUCCUGCAAACUUAAGUACUUAACAUACUAUUGCUUCUGAAACUUCAGAGAUUGUUGAUGAUUAUUGUCUUGUAAUGUGUGUGGCUUAGUGGCCUGGUAAUAAGAAUCUGCUGAUUUCAAGUGUUAAUUUUGUUUACUGUUUGUUUUUAGGUAUGAUGGAGAAGAAGUUUUCAGUGGUGUCCAGUACACUGUACAGAAUCAUCAAGUCUUUCAUGGAAGCACCGUCAGAAGUAGAAGAAUACUUGGUACACACAAGUGGAUUUUCCUGAAAGCUAUAAUGGCAUGAACAGUUUCUAAUAAUGGGAAUGUCAGGCAUCCUGAUGAAAGACUUCCCGGCAACUGUAGGACAACAGAUAGAGAGAUGCUUGAAGGCUGCUUCUUGGUUGAAGGGAAGUGGUCAAAAAUGUAGGAACAAAUGUUUUUAGCUUAUUCAGUGAGGAGUUGGAGCACUUUGUCAGUGCUGCCUGGAUGGUCUGUAACUGGAAGGAAGUGUAACACCUGAAGAGUUUUUGUGGCUUGGAGUGGGAUACCAUGCUUUUAAAAACCUGCUGAAACAGCUGCUGCAGUUUUGUUCAGCAGAUACUGUUUUCAGAAACUGCAUGUGAACCAAAAUCACUGCAUCUGCAUAUUUAAAAUAGCGCUUUUCCCAAAACAUUGAGCUGCCCUCUAGGAAGUAUAGCAGCAAUAUGAGGGAAGUGUGUGUUGAGUUUCAGUACAUGGAAAAACCCCUGGGAGUAUUUGCCUUUUUAGAAUGUCAUAAGGGUAUGCAGACUUGUUGAUACUGAAGAUCUGUAACGACUCAAAACAAUGGAACUCAUAGGUAGGCCCUAUAAAGAUGGGGAGAAAGAAAAAUUCAAACCACACAAAUCACACCAAUUCAAACCAGUGAGUCUGCUUUUUGAGGGUGGUGUCAUCCAGGAGAUAGGAGGAAGUAGAUGAGGUGAUGGUGGUACGGAAGCGUAAACAUGAAACAUUUUUAAGAAAGAAAUUUAGGUGUCAUCAGGAACGAUGUGGUUACAGAAAAGCCAAGCGCUAAAGCUUGCAUUGCCAUCUGUAUGUAGUGAGAGAGAGGGGAAUUGGGGUUUUAUGGACUGCCACUUUAGCUUGAAAAGACCACAACAGUGGAACUGCCCUUUGAGGAAUACACUGGCAAUGUUACCUGCUUGCUGUGUGGGGAAGAGAGGGCAGUGGUGGGAGAAGGGAGCACACGCAUUGGAACUCGUAGUUUGGGCAGUCACUUGAAAACUGAUGCUGCUGUGUCACACUCACAACAUAUUUGCUGUAUUCAGCAAAUUGGCAGUAUUCCACAGAGGGGUGAGGGAUCAUUAAUUGGAUACCAAGUCAAUUGGAUUCUAAAGACAAAUCAUUAUGUACAUAGAUGUAGUCUGCCUUAAAGCAUGACUCUCGGACCUAUUUGUCAGGAAUGCUUUCUAAAGGAAGAAACGCGAGAAUGGCAUGAUACCUAAAAACUGAUAGAGCUACAGUUAGUGAAUCCUUAUGGUCUGCAGCCAAAAACAACAGCAUUGGACGCCAGCAGCUCUCUUCCUUUAGAGAGUUGGGAAUAAUUCCUAUAGCUCAUGGAAUGUGCCUAUUUCUAAAUGACAAAUUCCAUUAAAAGCUCAAUUUUCUGUCUAAGCAGCAUCAUGAAUUUCAAAAUGCUACCAGUAGCAGUGCCUCAAGCAUGAGAAUGUCAAAAAUAAAUAUCCAUCUGACUACUAAAAUGUACAUUGAGGAUCUGACUGAACUCAAGAGUGUAUUGGCUCACUGAGCAUCUCCUGUGCUUUGGUUAUUGUAACCAGCUACUUUGGCUAAAGGCUGCUUUUUUAAAGCAAGCAACUCUCUAAAUCAGUAUCGAAUGUAUCAGAAUGUGCAGAAAUUUACUACAGAAAUUGCUUUCAAGAGGAAUUUAUUAUUUCUGUUAACAAAUGUUACUGGCAAGGGUAGGUGUUUCCAUGUGCCAUGUUUUGUACAUGCUCUUUCUUGAAUAAAGAUGAGGAUGU